AUUGAACGCUGGCGGCAUGCUUUACACAUGCAAGUCGAACGGUAACAGGCCGCAAGGUGCUGACGAGUGGCGAACGGGUGAGUAAUGCAUCGGAACGUGCCCAGUCGUGGGGGAUAACUACUCGAAAGAGUAGCUAAUACCGCAUACGAUCUAUGGAUGAAAGCGGGGGACCGUAAGGCCUCGCGCGAUUGGAGCGGCCGAUGUCAGAUUAGGUAGUUGGUGGGGUAAAGGCUCACCAAGCCAACGAUCUGUAGCUGGUCUGAGAGGACGACCAGCCACACUGGGACUGGGACACGGCCCAGACCCCUAGGGGGGGCAGCAGUGGGAAAUUUUGGAAAAUGGGCGCAAGCCUUAUCCAGAAAUGCCGGGGGGAGGAAGAAGGCCUUCGGGUUGUAAACUUUUUUUGUACGGAACAAAACGGCUUUGGUUAAUACCCGGGGCUAAGGACGGUACCUAAAAAAAAAGCACCGGCUAACUACGU
rnacentral:rRNA from 1 species